GAUGAACGCUGGCGGCGUGCCUAAUACAUGCCAGUCGAGCGAACGGACGAGAAGCUUGCGUCUCUGAUGUUAGCGGCGGACGGGUGAGUAACACGUGGAUAACCUACCUAUAAGACGGGGAUAACUUCGGGAAACCGGAGCUAAUACCGGAGAAUAUUUUGAACCGCAGUGUGCAAAAGUGAAAGACGGUCUUGCGGUCACUUAUAGAUGGAUCCGCGCUGCAUUAGCUAGUUGGUAAGGUAACGGCUUACCAAGGCAACGAUGCAUAGCCGACCUGAGAGGGUGAUCGGCCACCCUGGAACUGAGACACGGUCCAGACUCCUACGGGAGGCAGCAGUAGGGAAUCUUCCGCAAUGGGCGAAAGCAUGACGGAGCAACGCCGCGUGAGUGAUGACGGUCUUCGGAUCGUAAAACUCUGUUAUUAGGGAAGAACAUAUGUGUAAGUAACUGUGCACAUCUUGACGGUACCUAAUAAGAAAGCCACGGCUAACUACGUG
rnacentral:rRNA from 1 species